GGCUGUGUGUCGGGCGUCGUGCGUUCAGAGUGUUUCAUCUUCGUAGAAGGGUUGGUGAGCUUUCGGCCUUUUUCUACCACCUGCAGUGACUACAGAGCCUGAGAGCUCAGUUUGCCUGAAAACUUGGGUGGAGCUUCCCCGCGAACACCCUGCCUCUCCCGUCCUGUAAAUCAAUAUUACCUUUCCACCCUCUCCUGGCCUUUCCCCCUCGCCGCUGUGUCUGACUUUCUAUUUCUUCUGGGGUCAGUUUUCAACGUUUGGAAGUCUCACAUUUUUAAAUGCGCUGCCAAGGACCUGCUCGUCUAUUUGUCACUCAUUUUAUUUAUAUCUGUAGUUAGAUCUAUUUCUGCCCUUGAUGUGGAGUUUUUAAAAAUAAUUACAUGCAUAUUUGGGGUGGGGGGCAGGCCUCGGGUAUAGAGAAGCUCCUGGGCCUGGGAUCAAACCUGUGCCACAGCAAGGAACCAAGCCACACAGCAGUGACCACGCCAGACCCCAGGCUGUGGCGCCACCAGGAGCUCUGAUGUUGCGGGGUUUUGUUUCUCUUAAUCUAACUUGCCAACAGCUCGGCUGUUUUACUGGUUUUUUCAAAGAAGCAACUUUUAUCUCUUCUUUGGGUCGGGUCUAUUCAGCUCAGCUUUCAUCUCUAUGAACACUGUCUUUUGCUGUCAUUUUUCCGGUGUCUUCCGGUGAGGAAGUGGUGUGUUUACGUUUGGGCUCUUUCAAUAGCAAAACAUUCGGUGUUACUGGAUUUUCCCUGAUUGGGGUUUGAUGUCUGCCUCACGGUUUUGGACAUGAAUCUUUUCCUUUGUUACCAGUUUUCUAGGGGUUUCGGUUUUUAUUCUUCUGUCACUCAGAGGCCAUUUAGACCAACAAUUAAGCACCUGUGCUUCCCCUUGGCGCUGUGUCUCGUCUCACCGGAGAGAGAGACGGCCGGCUCUAGGGCGUCAUGGUCUUUCCCAAAGCUUUUGGCUGGAUCUUGUCUUACGUCCCUGGUUUGCCAGUUGUUGUCUGGUGGCGGUUGGCUUUCUCGCUUUGGUUUUGGCUAUUUGUUUACAGGGAAAUUGGACACGUUGGUUGCACAGUUGACAGGGAAGAAUGGACGCUUGAGAUUUUCCAAGGACGUUUUGCAGCUGAACAGUAAAACGGAUGGUAUCAUCCGUGUGGGCCAAGCAGCAGGGGCUGGCACCGAGGACAGAGAGGUGGGCCGGGCAGGGCAGAGUCCAGAGGUCCAGCCGCCACCAGCCAGGACCAGACCCCGCGCUCCUGUCUACAGGGAGGGGCUUCGGCGUCUUCUAUCUGAGCACUUCCCAGAGCUGCCUCUGUCCCGUGGCCGAGGGCUCCCGAGCCAGGGCCAGGCGGCCUGCCCUGGGAGCCCAGGGGAUGCUGGCCAGCGGAUGAACAAAUCCAUCCGCUGUCACCAGAGGAUGAAACGGCUCGGGCUGAGGAUUUAAACUCCAAGAGCACGAAAGAUGGGCCGGGCACGUGGUCGGCUCUGCUCGGCACCACAGGCAGGGCAUUUGACCUUCCCUCUGGCUGCGAGCCGAUGCCUGAGGCUCUCCCGUCCUCUAAAGACCCCCACUUCCAGCCGCCCCCAUGGGGUGGGGCCCUCACACCUCUCAUCCCACCCGCUCUUGGCCCUGCAGGAGCCCUCUGAGAUCACACCCCUCCUACGCCAAGGAAGCCAGGCUGGGGCUGGCCCAAGGGCACACACCGAGCCCAGGGUGGAGCCUCAGGGGCCAGGGCAGCUGCACCUCACGCAGAGCCUGGGCUUGUGACACCUGCAUGGCCAGCCCCCGCCUCGCACAGCAUCGGGGCUCAGAACCCGGGCAGGCAGCUCAGAAAGGAGAACCACCCAGUGGGGCCAAGGGGGAAGGUCACGAAGGGUGCCUGUUCCACGGUCACGGUUAAUGAGAACUCCGUAAAAGCCGAGUCAUCACAAGAGAAGCAUAAAGCUUCCACGAGUGGUUCGGGGCCUCUUUUUUUUUUUGUCUUUUUGUCAUUUCUUGGGCUACUCCCGCGGCAUAUGGAGGUUCCCAGGCUAGGGGUCGAAUCGGAGCUGUAGCCGCUGGCCUACGUCACAGCCACAGCCAGAUCUGAGCCGUAUCUGCGACCUACACCACAGCUCACGGCAACGCCGGAUCCUUAAUCCACUGAGCAAGGCCAGGGGUCGAACCCGCCACCUCAUGGCUCCCAGUCGGAUUCGUUAACCACUGCACCACGACGGGAACGCCCGGGGCCUCUUUAAAAGACCAUGAAAUAUCUAAGCCAUAUUUGGCGGAAACCGCUGCUUUUCUACUGGGAAGUGUCUACAAACAGAAAGUUGGAAUUUCUGAAAUUGAGGAAGAAACCUCACAAUUUCAGGUACAAGCAUCGCCCUCCUUUCUUUCCUUUUUGAAACGACUAAAGCGUCAGCCCCAAAGAAGUCAAAACACGCUCGGAGUCCCCCACCGUCCUGCCUCACCCAGCAGGGGACAGAGGAUGCCUGGUGGCUCCCCUCCUCCUGCCGAUGGACGUGAAGGGCCCCUUGGACACAGGGCUCCCGGGACAGGGCUGCUCCGUCCUUGCGAACGACGCGUGCUUGCUGGCUGUAAACGGGGGGACGGGGACCCUGUAACUUGAGGGCUGGGAGGGCUCAUCGGGGGGCCCCAUGGCUUCAGACUUUCCUUCUCUGGCUCUGUGCCCAGUCUCCUGCUUCCUAAACGAGCACCCUCUGGCCCCCACACCUCCACACCCCAGUCCCCUCUCAGCAGGCCUGGGGUCUCCCCUCCCCCAGCCAGGUUUCUGGAAGGGCUGCCCCUCCCCCCUUUCCCCAGACCUUCAGCACCUCCCCUCCCCCACAAACACACACACACAGAGGUCACCAGCAGCUCUGGUCCCGUCCAAGGGUCCUUCUCAAGUCUAUACCCACCUGGCCUCCGAGAGUCCCGCACAGGGGACCGACCUCUGCCUCCCCCCGGCCCUCUGGUCCCUCCCUGGGCUGUGUCUCCAGCUCUCCUCUCUGCUCCAGCGUCCUCUUGGCCCCUCUCUCGGCCUCCUCCCCUCGCUAGAGAAACCACCCCUCCCCUGGCCUCCAGGGCCUGGGCCUCCAGAGCCACUUGUCCUGCAACACUGUCCCCAAACCCAGUGACCCCGGGAGGCUCAUCCACUGCUCCUGCACCUGCCUUCCCACCUCGGGGUAUAGGUCCUGGACACCCGGCGACUCAAGCCUGGACAUCCUCGUGUCACCAUCUGCUCCGAGUCACCCUCGGGCCACCUCUAAGUUCCACGUCUUGGCGCCUCGAGCCUCAGCACCACGGGCUCCGUGCAGACCGCCCCUCGUGGCCCCUUGCCGCUGCCCUCCCACUCUGCUGCUGCAGUAGGGCAGACGCGGCCCUGGGUUUUCCAAGUCCCCACGCCGGAAGGCGCCAGCCAGCUCUCCCCUGGGACCUCGGGAAGAUUUGAAGGCUGGAGGCUCACCGGGCCUUUCAAAGCCGUGUCGCAUCAAAGGCAGGAUGUCUUCCUGCGUCCAGAGCCUUCCCCAUGUCCUGCCGUGUGCGGCUGCAGCCUGGGGGUGUAACAGGCGCCAUCUGCUCUCGCAAGAAGGCUCGGCUGAGGGGUGACAGGAGACGGGGCUGUGUGCAGCAGUCGGGGGAGCAGUGCUUGGCCCCGAGUCAGGGGAGCACAGGGCGGGCAGCAGGGAAGGAGGCUGUGGGUGGAGGGCUCUCCCGGGAACCUGGGAGGACUGUCGAGGUCCUUAUUCCAAGGCUGGAAGCAGGGGAGGGAGGGUGGGCGUGUCUUCCGAGGCAGAGAGCCUGCCGGACAGAGGCUUCGUCCAGCCUGGGACCCUUCCUGGACCUGCCUUUGCUUCUUCACGACCUGGCCGUGCAUGAGGUCGGGGCAGAUGCCUGGUGUCACGGCUGCCCCUGGAGGCCACCCCGGCUGCACUUCCAAGAGGCCUGUGUCUCUCUACCCAGGAGCACGUGGACACACUGCGCCAGGCCCUGGACGAGAGCAAGAGGCAUGGCCAGGGCCUGGCCCAGCAGGGGCAGCUGCUGGAGGAGCAGGUCGCAGGCCUGCAGCGCAGGUGUCUGGAGGCGGAAGGCGUGCGGGAGCCCCUGAGGCAGGGAGCACCCCUACGGCAGAGGGUGGACACACUGAGAGAGAGAACCAGCCCAGCUCAGGAUGCAGCCUCGGGCCGCAGCGCAGGGAGCAGGCGGCGGGGGCAGCGCCGAGAGACACGUCCUGCCUGCAGGGGGCGCUCACAGGGCACCGGGCGCUGGUUCGCCGCUCAGGUGGCCAGCCCAAAGGAGCAGCUGGACCAGGAAGGGCGGCAGCGGCGACACGACCACCUCGGCCAGACCCUUCCAACCAAGAAGUGAGCCCUGCUACCAACACUCAGGCAGUCUGGCCGCCACAGCCCUGACCAGCGGGCAGCAGAGCCACUGCUGAGAAAGCCGACGCCCUGUGCUGCUCGGCGGCCAGCCUCGAGGGGCACCGGGCUGACGCAGCCACGGCCCAGAGCCCACCCCUCACCCUGCAUGAUCCCCUGCAAGCAGUGUCCCCCCCGACCCGGCCCCCGGGACUCGGCCUCUGGCUGGCCUGGACUGCGCUUCGGGACACUGCUCUGGGACACGCCCUCCACAGCUGCACUGAGGCCCCUCGCAGCCCGCAACGGGCCUGGCACGGCUUCGGACCCUGGUGGCCAGGCCCCGUCAGGCCGGCUUCCGCUGCCUCCAGCUGUAUUCCGUGCCCUUAGCUCUGUAAACACGGGAAAACACGUGGAAACCAUUUCCACCACUGGAGCCAAAAACAUAAUGUCCUGCAAGGCCCAGCCACCACACCCCCACGCCCAGAGGCUGCAGGACCUUCUGUAUCCAGGAAGUGCAGGUCCGUCUCGGUGGCAGGUGGCUGGAAGUGACUCUGAAUCAAGCCCCUGUGGCUCGCGGGCCGUGAGAGGCCCUGGGGGUGAAGUCAAGGUUGGCGGAGGAGCACCCGCCUUCCCAGCCCCUAAACGCUGGGAAGGUUCCUUGGGAAUCCAGCCCCGGUCGCCGUGGAGACCACGGCAGCCAGGUUAGGCCUGCUGCCAGGCUCACCUGUUAGGCUUUCGCUCUUUUCCCCAAAAUACCACCGGGCGGAGCCAUGGGGCUCCUCUCCAACGGCCGUCCACGGGGCAGCGGUCACGGGGCACCCUGGGAGGGUGUUCACACUUCCACAGGGCAGCAGCCACGGGGCACCCUGGGAGGGUGUUAACACUUCCACGGGGCAGCCGUCCACGGGGCACCCUGGGAGGGUGUUCACACUUCCACGGGGCAGCGGCCACGGGGCACCCUGGGAGGGUGUUCACACUUCCAAGGGGCAGUGGCCAGCCCAGGAAACCCCUGCAUGCGUGGGUGCAGGUGCCCCCACGCUCUUCCUACUCCAGGAACCCGUCACACCCUGGAGCGCCCACAACAGUCACGGUAAGCGGGGGCCCCAGUGCGUGAAGAUCCAUCCAGCACUUGGGGUUGAACCUGGUGACGGAGCUUCCAUUUGCUGUCAACUGUACAAAAGCGGAGGAGAAAGAGGCAGCCAGGCAGGCUGCAUUCUGCCUGUCGACCCUGCCCCAUCCCUGGUGGCCGUGUUGAAGAGAUUCUGAAGUUCAGUCCGGCCCAGAGGGAGGAGCCUGGUGGCCUAGCAGCGGCUGCUCCGGGCAAGGAGGCCUUGACGGUGGUGUGCGAAGCCUGGUGUUGGCCGUGGCCGUGGCCAGUCAGAGUGGGUAGCAAUCCAGCGGAGGACGGCAGGCCGGCCCUGGCUGGAGAGCACCGCACAGACGGGCAGGAAGGGCCCCGAUGUAACAGACGCCACCCGGGGCCUGGCAACGCUGACCGGUCCCAUCCCCUCCUCCCCCACCCCGCGGAGGAGGGACCUGGGGGGCAGGGGGUGGGGGGUGACGGGUGGGAGAGGAACCGGAAGCUGGAGACUGGAGUCUGGGGAGCGGGUUUCCGUCCUGGCACCUCAGUUGUCACACCUCUGGGACUGACGCUCCCGGCAGAGGCGGGGCGGGGGAAGAGCACGCGGAUGAGAGAGACACAGCGCUGAUGAGAAAGGGGGGUCGGAGUGGUUUCUGGACAUUGAAAUCAGAGCCCCCCACCCCAGUCUGGCGCGAUCCGGCCCCUCCUCACCCAGGCGGCCCCCAGGACACGUUCCAUGCCUGUGAAGCCUCUACGAUUUUUCUGUUUCAACCAAAGUUCAAUCAAUGUAGGCGGUACUAUUUUUACUCCUUCAACAUAAGGUUGAAUACUUAGAAAAAAGGACUUUUUUAA
rnacentral:lncRNA from 1 species